rnacentral:tRNA from 1 species
GCGAACGUAGCUCAGGGGUAGAGCUCUACCUUGCCAUGGUAGAGGUCGCGGGUUCGAAUCCCGUCGUUCGCU